UCUUUCACCCUCACAACCUCUCUCUUCUCUUUCCCUCAGUGCUCCCCGCUUCCCUGCACCUCGCUCUCACCCUCAUGGCUUUCCUCUUCUCUUUCCCUCAUGACUUUCCUGCACCUCUCUCUCUCAAACCCCGCAAAACAACUACCUCAACAGAUACCACCUUCCCAGCUACGACCAAGAGUACCAUAAUCAUGAAAGGGUGUUUAAGCAAAGUUACCAUUAGAUAUGAUGGAUGGGAUGGAUGAUCAACAUGCAACUUGGAUGUAAUGGUACGGAAGCAUUUCCUAAGCAAGUUAUAAGGCCGAUUACUUUUUUAGUAGAUGCUCUGGUCCUUCUUAAAAGGCUGAUGAGUACAGGUGCACGUUCAUGGUUUCCCCAUGAACAUUUUUAAAUAGAUUUAGAAGGCGAUAUUCACUUACGUCAGUUGGAAUUUGUUAGGAUUUUCUAUUUGUGCUUUAAAAUUUAACAAAGCAGGCUGCUUGAUUCUUCA